AUUAAGGGGUGUCCGAUAAGUGUCGGGCUGAGAUUAAACCCUCUAACCUGAUCCGGGUAAUGCCGGCGUAGGGAUAAAA
rnacentral:ncRNA from 1 species